rnacentral:misc_RNA from 1 species
GAGAAUAGCCAUGGAAGAAGAAAAUAAUCAGAGGAAGAAAGAGAAAAGUGAGGGAAGCUAAUACGAAGUGGAAAAGCUAAUAUGUUGGUCUUACAUUUGGACAGGUGGAUUUAUAUGCAGUGAAAACGUAUACAUAUCAGUACAUGAGCUAUUCUUUUCGUACAUGUUCUGUUGCUGUCGGUACAAUCUUGUAUUGCUGCG